rnacentral:rRNA from 1 species
UACGAAGGGUGCAAGCGUUACUCGGAAUUACUGGGCGUAAAGCGUGCGUAGGUGGUGAGUUAAGUCUGAUGUGAAAUCCCCGGGCUCAACCUGGGAAUGGCAUUGGAUACUGGCUCGCUCGAGUGCGGUAGAGGGUGGUGGAAUUCCCGGUGUAGCAGUGAAAUGUGUAGAGAUCGGGAGGAACAUCUGUGGCGAAGGCGGCCACCUGGACCAGCACUGACACUGAGGCACGAAAGCGUGGGGAGCAAACAGG